AGAAGGUGGAUUUGGGAAGGCAGCCCGGGGUCCAAAUCCUCCUGGCUCUUCAGCUUAGCGGGAUGUCACCCUCAGUGUCUGAAAGCUGGGUUUGAUGCGUCUGGAAAGGCUCCCCUGACAGGCAUCAUUGCCGGGAGCCCCUAGUGCCGCCAGCAGCCAGCAGGGGAGGGCGUCCUCUGCCCGCUCACUUCUGACCCUUCUCAGGGAGCAGCCUGGGCUGCGCGGAAGGCUCAGAUUUGGGGAUGGCCCUUGCCAGUGACAGUGACCUGGGGUGUCUUGGAAACUCCCAGUCUCAGCUUCUCCAUUUAUAAGAUGAGAAUGAUCAUACCAGCCUCAGGCAAGGUUGUUUGUGCAUUAGUGAAAUCAGACGUAUUAAAUAAAGUACCAUAUUGAUCAUGGAGUUGUUGAAUAACCAA
rnacentral:lncRNA from 1 species